UGGCGCUCGUCGCCGACCGCAUACUCUGCAUCGCGCCGUCGCCGGCAGCGCUUGCCGGUCACCACCUCACAGGCUCACUUCAAGGUCCGGAUUGGCCUCCUCCAGCUCCGAAAGGCACUCCAUGAGGGUCCUAGGAGGCGGCGUCGCGGCCGGCGUUGACCCAAACGUUUACUGCGGCUAAGCCGUUCAACUCGGCAUCGCCGCGGCGGCGGCGACCCCGACUCUUCCGGCGUCUGCUUGGAUCCCGAUUGCAGCUGCUUCCUUCCGGUGACUAGAUCUUUUCCUAACUACCUGUUCGUUUUUCUCUCUACUGGAGUUUCUGAUUUUAGGAUUGAGCCUUCUAGUUCUAGUUUGCAGUAGUGUUUUGGUUGUACGGGUCCAUUAAAUUGCUGUUGUAAAAUAGUUUUAUCUAAACCUCGGGAUUUUGCAAUUCAGAGGUAUAUAUAUAACUGCAAAAAUGAGCAUCUUCCAGUUGUUACUCUGAUAGCAACGGAUCCUUGAGUACUCCACAUUCUGCACCUUCGUUAUUCAAGUCAUUGCUAAGCACUGUAUUGGUUUAAGGCAAAGGCACAAACUGCACCUGUCACACUUAACAGGUGGUUCUAUGUGACCAACUCAAAAGAUCCCAGAAUUGACAACAAGAGCUUUUCCGUAAUUCCAACUUUUCAACAGUAAAUAUGUUAGAACCUACAUCUCAUGAUUGGUCCUUUCUGUGGUACAUAUGGAAAUGGAGAUUUCUGUUCUUUAGAUGCUAUCUAGUAAAGACUGGAGAAAAGGGUUCUGUAAUUUUGCAUCACAAUGCUCAAUGCUAACUGAAGCCAUGAAACUGAUCUCCCAAAAAAAAAAAAAAAAACUGAGGGCAUAAAACUUCCCUCAUUUGGUAACUGUAGCUUUGAGCCACACAUUUAACCAGAUCAAUCAUGUUUGAAGAAAAUUAUCCUUUGUUGAUAGUGUUAAUUUCAAUCCGUUGGUUGCUGUUGGAUCCAGUUUUCCUCUAAUCUCUAGUGCAGGGUGGGGGAUUAUGUUUACGCGAAAGGAGGUAUGAGCGCCUGUGGGGGGGCUACUUCCAGUUUCCUGAUGACAAUCUUAUGCAUGUAUAUAAGCAUGCAUGCGUUUUCCCUUUUCCCUCGCACGCGGCCUGGAAAAAGCAGCAGUCCCCACCGUGGUCUGGGAAAACGACAAACCACGAAUGGCCACCAACUCCUUCACACGGGAUCGUUGACGCCAAAAGGAGCCACCCGAUUGAGAAGGGAAUUUUCGAUGAAUGUUUCCAGCUUUGACAGAAUUUUGAAUCAAUAUCUUUGGAGCACUGUGAUCGGGAAGCUAAUAAAGUUGCAUAUGAGUUAGCUACAGUAGCUUUGUCGACAAAAUAAAAUUGUAUUUAGGUCGAUGAACCUCUAGAUUUUAUUCUUGAAAGCCUUGUAAAUGAUGUAAUCUUAUUUGAUAAUCAAUAAAUUGUGUUGCAUGGCUUCCCUCAAAAAAAAGGAGCCACCCGAUUGAGACGGGAGCGAGUAGCACAUGGAUGCGAAAGCGGUACAAAUAUUUUUCGAUUGUA